AUUGAACGCUGGCGGCAGGCCUAACACAUGCAAGUCGAGCGAGCGGCGGACGGGUGAGUAAUGUAUGGGGAUCUGCCCGAUAGAGGGGGAUAACUACUGGAAACCGUGGCUAAUACCGCAUACUCUCGGAUGAACCCUUAUGGGAUUAGCUAGUAGGUGGGGUAAAGGCUCACCUGGGCGACGACCUCUAGCUGGUCUGAGAGGAUGAUCGGCCACACUGGGACUGGGACACGGCCCAGACUACUACGGGAGGCAGCAGUGGGGAAUCUUGCGCAAUGGGCGCAAGCCUGAUGCAGCCAUGCCGCGUGUAUGAAGAAGGCCUUAGGUUUGUAAAGUACUGUCAGCGGGGAGGCGUUACCCGCAGAAGAAGCACCGGCUAACUCCGUGCCAGCCGCCGCGGUAAUAC
rnacentral:rRNA from 1 species